GACGAGCGCUGGCGGCGUGCUUAACACAUGCCAGUCGAACGGAAAGGCCCUGCUUUUGUGGGGUGCUCGAGUGGCGAACGGGUGAGUAACACGUGAGUAACCUGCCCUUGACUUUGGGAUAACUUCAGGAAACUGGGGCUAAUACCGGAUAGGAGCUCCGGCUGCAUGGUGGGGGUUGGAAAGUUUCGGCGGUUGGGGAUGGACUCGCGGCUUAUCAGCUUGUUGGUGGGGUAGUGGCUUACCAAGGCUUUGACGGGUAGCCGGCCUGAGAGGGUGACCGGCCACAUUGGGACUGAGAUACGGCCCAGACUCCUACGGGAGGCAGCAGUGGGGAAUAUUGCACAAUGGGCGGAAGCCUGAUGCAGCAACGCCGCGUGCGGGAUGACGGCCUUCGGGUUGUAAACCGCUUUCGCCUGUGACGAAGCGUGAGUGACGGUAAUGGGUAAAGAAGCACCGGCUAACUACGUG
rnacentral:rRNA from 1 species